GCAAGAUUUAACACUGUAGUUAAAAAAAAAAAAAAAAAAAAAAACUAAAUUCAAGUGAAACCAAAUGUACAAAUCCAAACAAACUAAGUUUGAUUAAAGGAUGCUUUUUUAACCUCUUCUCCGUCGUCCAAGACGUAUACUUCUCCAUGCACAAAAGGAGACAUUGUUCAGGCAUCAGUAUUCAAGUAGAGAUAUGAAAACAGUAAAAAACAGAGAUGAAUGAGAAAAAAAUAGUUGAAACUAAAAAGAAAAUUCUUAAAAAGGGUUAUAGGAUAUUAAAGAAGUAAAAAGGAAAUUAGAGAAAUCAAGGGAAUAUCUUUUAACGCAAAGUGAUAGGAAGAUGAAAAACAGAGUGCGAAAAUUUUCUAAUGGUUUAGAAAAAUGACAUAAUCUAACAGAGUCUAAUCUCGUCAGAGUAUAAAAAAAAACAGAGUGCGAAAAUUUUCUAAUGGUUUAGAAAAAUGACAUAAUCUAACAUAGUCUAAUCUCGUCAUAGUAUACAAAGGUAAUUUUAUGGCUUCUCAAAAAGCAAUAUGAAAAAGAAAGCAAAAAACUAAAAGCAUAUUAAAAUUUCCUUUUGUAUUUCAUCACGAAGCUUAAAGCCCAAUAAUUUUAGUUCAUAUUCCUUCAAAAAAUGAGAUAGACAAUGGAAGGAAGAACAAAAAUAAACAAAAACAAGAAUAAGAAUAAGAAAAAGACAAAAAUAUUUAACUAGUCGUGAUGGAAGAAACACGAAGUCCAUAGGUCUUAAGGAUGAGACCAAUAUUGCUUGCAGUCACUCUUUUCUCCAAUCCAAUAACCACUCAAUUAGUCACCAAGACAUCAUUUUCUCUCUGAAAAUACUUUAGCCCAAAACAGGAAAAGACACUUGGUGAACAUAAACAUAAAAAGUAAAUGGCAAAAAUAUCUUAUGAAGUAGUUAGCAAG
rnacentral:lncRNA from 1 species